GAUGCUCUAAAGACUCCUUAGUCCAAAUCUGAGGAUCAGCCGCCGCCCAUCAAAUCCAUCACCCUCCACCUCGCAGCCACUCACAGGCCAGUCGCCACUCCUCCACCUCGUCUUCACGAGCGCCCGAGGAGAGGAGCUCCUCGAGCACUCGCGCCCGCCGCCGGCAAGACCACGGCCGGCCGUGCCUUCUUCCUUCCCCUUUCUUUUUCCUGUAUCCUCCCCUAGCUCUCUCUCACGCCGUCUCUCCCCCCCUCUCUUUUCCUAUAGGAGCUCCCCGCGCGCCAUGGAGUUUGCACCGGACCUUGCCAUGGCUGCCCGCACGAGCAUCCUCUUCGUCGUUCGGCGCCUCCGUCCGCCUCAGAUCCGACCGGGAGACGAGCGGACCCGGCCACCCUAGCCAUCCCACACCUGAGCCGCCAUGCCUCUUCGUCAGCCACAGCAAGUCUCGGCCUCCUCUGCUUCUCCUCGUGCACGAGAUGCAGCGCGCCGAGCCACAGCGCCUCCACCACCUCGUCUGGCCUCCUCGGCUCCUCCCGCGCACCCCUCCUUCGCCCGCCGUGCCUCGUCGGACCGGCCGCCGCCGGGAAUGAGGAGCACAUCGCCCCAACGCAUGGACGCCGCCCUUCAGAACUAAUCUUCGACUAGUCCGAGCGCCGGAUCCGCGCCGCUCCGCCGCCUCGUCUCCGGCCCUUGCCCACUGGAGCUGCGCCUCCCUGUGCAGCCCCGCCGCCGCGCCUCUGCUUCGUUCGAGCAGAGAGGAGACGACCGCUGCUGUCCCGCAUUAACUGCCUCCACAUCGACCGAGCGGCCUCCCCUGCUCGCAUGGGCUGCGCGCCCCUCUCCAAGGCCUCAAAGGCCCCAUGUGGGGUGUCUCGAUCUUUCGAUGAGAUGAUAACUAUUGAUUUGGUUGAGUCGACUUUGACGAUCCGACUACAAAUGUGCACGACGUUGCGUCUUAGCAAUCGAUAAACCAAUCUUCUGAGGUUACUUACGAUGCCGGAAGCACGAUCAGCCUGGUCACAAAGGUCUAUUCCUGCAUGCAAUCGAAGAACAAGCAAAAAUAUGGUAAAGCAAUCUGAAUAUUGCGAAUAUAUACGAAGUGUUGAUAAAAGUGGGGAUCCGGAAGCGGUUUUGGUCUGGUCGUUGGUCACAAACGAAGUACACGAAGUUGCAAUGGCUAACUUUUAACUAAACAAUUCCCAAGUCUAAACGGUGCCUUAUGGCAUGUAUUUAUAGGGGAAAAGAGAGGGAAUUUCAUCCACUCUUGGCAAGGUGGGACUAAAACACCUCCUAAGUCGUUUCCCCUACAAUACGGAUUCUACAGACAGCCUAAUAAGAGGUAUUUCGAAGUUACAUGGGCCUGGCCCAAAAAUAAGGUGGCGCAACACCUAUAAUAAGCUAUGGACGAAUUUUAUGAACCGACAUCUUGUAUAUUUCAUCCAUCUUCUUGUAUGUCCUCAUGGUGUCUUCAAAGUGCGGAAAUCUUCACUGGAAAUUCCGUUCUUGUCCC